rnacentral:rRNA from 1 species
AGAUUGAACGCUGGCGGCAUGCCUUACACAUGCAAGUCGAACGGUAGAGUAGCAAUACUCGAGAGUGGCGAACGGGUGAGUAAUAUAUCGGAACGUGCCCAGUCGUGGGGGAUAACGUAGAGAAAUUUACGCUAAUACCGCAUACGAUCUACGGAUGAAAGCGGGGGAUUCGCAAAGAACCUCGCGCGAUUGGAGCGGCUGAUAUCAGAUUAGGUUGUUGGUGAGGUAAAAGCUCACCAAAGCCGACGAUCUGUAGCUGGUUUGAGAGAACGACCAGCCACACUGGGACUGAGACACGGCCCAGACUCCUACGGGAGCAGCAGUGGGGGAAUUUGGACAAUGGGCGAAAAGCCUGAUCCAGCAAAUGCCGCGUGCAGGAAGAAAGGCCUCGGUUGUAACGUAG